rnacentral:rRNA from 1 species
UGUGUUGAUCUUGUCUGAAUGCAUCUGAUCUUGUCUCACCUUGGAAGCUAAGCAAUCCUGAGCCUAGCCAGUACUUGGAUGGGAGACUACCUUGAAUCCCAGGUACUAAAGAUAU